AGGCGGCACAGGAAGCCGGAGAAGGGGCGGGCGCGAAGUGUGUGUGUGUGCGCGUGAGUGCGCGCGCGCGGGGUGCCACGAGGGAGGGGCGCGCGCCCACCCCUCAACGGCGCGUGAGCCUCGCGUAGAAGCGGACCUCCUCUUUCUCCUCAGGGCAACCGCCGGGGGAGGAACACACAGCUCCUCCUGCCAGCCAGCUGCUCGGCAUCUUUGGCACACCACGCAGCGCCCACGCGGGGAAGGCGGCCGCCAUGUACACACACACACACACACAGGCCACAGCGGACUCGCCGCCGCCCGACGGACGCUCCCCGAAACUGGGCCUGGCUCGCUCGCCUGGACCUUUCAGCCUGAGGCGGAAACAAGCCCGUAACCAAGGAGGCGGUUUAGGGGUUCAAACCAUUCCCGAAUUUUUUCAGGCCCCGGUGGCGAAGUGUGUUAAAGCACUGAGCUGCUGAACUUGCAGACCGAAAGGUCCCAGAUUCAAAUCCCGAGAACGGCUUGAGCGCCCGCUGUUAGCUCCAGCCUAGCAGUUCGAUAACAUGCCAAUGUGAGUAGAUCAAUAGGUACCGCUCCGGCGGGAAGGUAACGGCGCUCCAUGUAGUCAUGCCGGCCACAUGACCUUGGAGGUGUCUAUGGACAACACCAGCUCUUCGGCUUACAAAUGGAGAUGAGCACCAACCCCCAGAGUCAGACAUGACUGGACUUAACAUCAGGGGAAACCUUACCUUUUACCAAAAAAGAAAAACCUGGUUUACUCAUAAAUUUUAACAGAUUGCCAAGUGUAUGAGAAGCAAAAAUUAGAUUUCCUCCAGAACUGCAAGCACUAUCUCGACCAAAUGUGGAUUAUUCACACUCUUAUUACCUACCCUUCUACCAUUUGACAUUGCAAUAGCAGCAAUUGUCAUACUACUCCUCUUUUCUGCCAAGGUCAGACCACACCUGGAAUACUGUGUCCAAUUCUGGGCACCACAACUGAAGGGAGAUGUUGACAAGCUGGAAAGCGUCCAGAGGAGGGCGACUAAAAUGAUCAAGGGUCUGGAGAACAAGCCCUAUGAGGAGAGGCUUAAAGAGCUGGGCAUGUUUAGCCUGCAGAAGAGAAGGCUGAGAGGAGACAUGAUGAGGGCCAUGGAUUAAUAUGUGAGGGGAAGUCAUAGGGAGGAGGGAGCAAGCUUGUUCUCUGCUGCCCUGGAGACACCCUGCAGCACGUUUUGCUAUAGAUUUCCAAUGACUGACUUAGAGAGUCUCAAUAAAUUCAAUAUUGUGGCAACCAGAAAAACAGUGUUUCUGGAGUAGAAAAACUACUUUCCAAAUAAAACAAAAAUGAAGAAAUAAGUCCAAUAUGCCAACAUAACUUCAUGCAAGGAGGGAAGAAUGUCAUAAGCACUGACAUGCAGAAGCAGAAUAAUAGAAUCAUAAGAGUUGAAAAAGACCACAUGGGCUAUCUAGUCCAGCACGCUGCCAUACAGGAAAAGCACAAAGUACCCUCGACAGAAUGGAAUCAUAAAAUCAUCGAGUAAACCCUAAGAUUCUACAAAAUGUAGCAAACAAGGUGAGAAAUGUUAAAUGCUUCAUUCCAUGGCAUUAUAAAUAAAUGUUCCAUGGCCUCAAAUUUGAAGACUUAGAAAACAAAUAACAGUAACAAUAUAUUAUUUAUGCAGUCCAUUUCACAUUUCUUCUAGGACUUUGUAUUUAUCUGUGUAAUGUAAAGGACUGAGGGAAAGGAAGUAUUUGUUAUCCUAGACACCAGGUGCAGAGACUGAAGCUGAGAGAAAGCAGCUUCCCCAAGAACAGCUAUUGAGCUGAUGGGAGGGGUGGGUUUCAUUGGGACCUUCAGGAUCUACUGUCUGCAAAUUCACAAAUAAUCAUAAACAGAUUUUUUUGACAUGUGUCAGUCAUACUAUCCCCACACUGACCGCUAGGUGUCACAGACCAGUCUUGUAAAUGAAUGAGAAGCAAUUAAGUGCUCAGUGCAGUAGGGUGCUGCAUCAGCAGAAAGCUGUUUAGACAUGAAAUCUGUUUUAGUGUUCUCUCUCUCUCUCUCUCUCUCUCUUUCUCAAGAAAAUAAGAGCUACCCUUUGCUGUUUGGCUUCCACUGCUUCUCCAGUGUACUAAACACGAAUCUAACACCCCCCCCCCCAUUUUUUUUUUGCCAGGGAUCCCUUUUGGUGCAGAUUGAACCAGAGGCCUGCCACAUUGAGGACAUAUGUUUUCCCAGCAAACUGCCUUCUUUCUGUCAGUAUAUUCAGGCAAACCUGGCCAAAGAAGUAUCUUCUCCUAUAUGAACUUUAUCCUUGUCUCUAAAAUCUGUUGCCCUUCUGGUGAGCAGUCCUCUCUAACACAGGCAAUGGUGACCAGUUAUGGGAGGCCACACGUGCCCAUCUGCGCCCUUUUUGGACACUUACGUUGUUUUUGUAGGCUGCUUUUUUCCUCAGAGCUUUAAGAAAGAAAAGGCAAUAAUUAGUUAACGCUCCAAGAUACCCUACUACAAAACACUGCUAGUGGUGAGUGAACUGGCCAGCUCAAAAUAAAUAUAACUUAGUUUUCUACAUUUGCCUGGACAACACAGUAGUACUGCUUGUUUUAGUCAUUCUGACUGCAGUCUGUCCUAAAAUGUUUAGUUCCAACAAGAAGUCUUGGAGAACCUAGAGUGAAGAACAUGCAUGCAUAAGGCUAAAUUUAGGUCCUGUUCAGGUUGGAUCUUGUGGGGAUCCUGUUUCUGGUAAUUCAGACAGUCUUCAACUCCAUGCUCUAUAUAAUAUUAGAGUUGGGGUAAAUUAGUUUCAGGGUGUUUUUCAUAAUCUCCUCAAUUGCUUCUUCUCACCUCCCCUUUUUUCCAAAGGCAUUUUAAAAACUGAUUUCAAACAAAAAAUAACUCAAGGAGAGGGGAGUUAGGAGCUGGGGGUGGGUGGAGGGGGGUGGUUAGGCUUGUCUCCUCCCAAAAGUAUCACAAGCCUACUUCCCAAUGUGGUUUAAUCCCACUGUUCCCACUAGCUGUUUCAUUCCCCCUUCCUUUCCCAUGACUGAGUGGCCAAAAGCAUGGGCUGCUGGAGGGCAAAGAGAAAAUUUGUUACCUGGGAAAGGCAGCAGAAGAAAAUGUGUGGGUGAUAAGAAAAAUAGUGUUGACUGAUAAGGGGGUAAGCAGGGCACAACUGAAUCACCUUUGACCUUGUAGAAUGGGUGAUACAAGAAAAGGUUGGGUGUGUUAAAUGAAACUGCAUUGGUUGUUGCUGACUAGGACCAACACUGGUGGCUGCUUUCCUACUUUGCAGCUAUAAGAGCCUAAAAAGGACAACCUGCCCCUGAAAAAUUCCCAGCUGAAUUUAUUUGUGCUUACGGUAUAUUGAAGCUUUGGUCCCCAGGGUGUCCAGGUCAGUUACCACAAUUUUCUGGCUGCCCACUUGAGUCUAUCUGCUAUCAAGACUGGACUGGACUAGACAAGAGGGGGAUGAACUUAAACCCAACCAAAUUCACCCUUCAUAACAUAAUGGUGUUUCAUUCCCUCACUCCCAAAUUAUACUAAUUGCAUUUAAAAAAAUGCUAAACAACCAUCCUUCCCCUAAGCCCCAGAAGUGUUUAGCUGGAUUAUGGGGAUAGAAAUUACUAAGGAAAGAGUCAAUGUUGUCAUAGCAGCCAUAAACCUUUGAACUAUUCCUGAUUCCUAGAAGGGAGACUCAGUAUGGAUAGUAAUGUUCUUCAGAAGAUGCUGGAAUCUUCAGAGAUUCCAGCAUCUUCCCUGAGAUCAUCUUAAUCAGCUCAGUAAGAAGACUUAUUAUUUGAAAUAUAAAUCAACAUUUAUUGUUGUUUUGUGUGGUUUCAAGUCACUUCUUAUUUAUGUUGACACGAAGUUGAACCUAUCAUGAAGUUUUCUUGGCAAGAUUUAGUCAGAGGAGGGUUGUCAUUAUCUUCUUCUGAGGCUGAGAGGAUAUGAGUUGCUCAAGGUUCCCCCAACACCUUGAGCAAGAACUCAAACCCUGGUCUCCCAGAAGCCUAGUCCAAUACUCAAAGUGCUAUACAUGCUGGCUCCCUUUAAAAAAAAAAACCUUCCAUAUUCUCAAGUACAGUAGAGUCUCACUUAUCCAACAAAAACGGGCCGGCAGAACGUUGGAUAAGCGAAUAUGCUGGAUUAUAAGGAGGGAUUAAGGAAAAGCCUAUUAAACAUCAAAUUAGGCUAAGAUUUUACAAAUUAAGCAUCAAAACAUCAUGUUAUACAACAAAUUUGACAGAAAAGGUAGUUCAAUACGCAGUAAUGCUAUGUAGUAAUUACUGUAUUUACGAAUUUAGCACCAAAAUAUCACGAUGUAUUGAAAACAUUGACUACAAAAAUGCGUUGGAUAAUCCAGAACAUUGGAUAAGCGAGUGUUGGAUAAGUGAGACUCUACUGUACUUCUAAAAUUUUAUCAACAUUUUAUACCAACAAAUAAUUUGUGGAAGUGCAGCAUUAUUAUUACCAAUUCCCACUCAUCUUUACUGUUCAUCUUAAAAUUCAGUUUAAAAGCAAUUUUAAAAAAGUGGGGCUAUCUCUCUCCCAAACAAUAAAGUAACUCAGCUCAUUUCUAAGACAGUCUAAUUUUACCCUGUCUAACUCCAUGAAUGCACAAACCCAUUUUGUUCUGGCCCACUCAUCUAGAAUCAUGGAAGGUAGUGGCAUUAAAAGGUACACAGACACUAAAAUGGCUGGUCACAAUGGGAGCUGUUAUUUGCCUUCCUUAAAAUUAUACCAUGUCUUUGCACUUUGGUGAAAGAAAAAGGUAACUGGGUUGCUGUGGUGUUUUUCAGGCUGUAUGACCAUGUUCCAGUAGUACUCUUUCCUAGGAGAGAAUGCUACUGGAACAUGGCCAUACAGCCCGAAAAACUCACAGCAACCCAAUGAUUCUGGUUGUGAAAGCCUUCGACAACAUAUCAAAAAGACAACUGCCAUGUUGAAAAAAGUUGCUGCCCUUGCUUGACAUAUGAAUAAGUGAAGAAGAAAACUAUUUUUUUAAGUGGAAAAGCCUCUUCUGCUUCCAAUUGCAAGGAACACUUCCACAGCCAUGACAGGUUCAGAGGCUAGAAUUUCCAUCUCUUCCCUUGAUAGGUAGCUUCAAAAUAAUCAUCGCCAAGCACUUAAUCUGGAUCCUCAUCAAGACACACUGGAUACCAAAGGAGAGACUACCUCUUGGACACAGAGAAGACUGGGCGACUUGGAAGGCUCUGAACAUUCUGCGCUCUGGCACGAGAUGCAGAGCCAACCUUAAGAAAUUGGGCCACAAAGUGGAGUCCACAACAUGUGAUUGUGGAGACCACCUAUUACAAUUCAUCCUGAGCCCUGCCACAUGUACAAUGGAGGACCGUCUUAUAGCAACACCAGAGGCACUCCAAGUGGCCAGCUACUGGUCAAAGGACAUUUAGUAUAAUGCCAAGUUUUUAACUUUGUUUGUGUUUUAAAAUACAUUACAACUGCACCCUUGGUUCACUUCUGACACGAUAAAUAAAUAAAUCAGGACACACUUAGAUAAAUUGCAAGUAUAAAACUAUUUUGAAGCCAUAUUUAAAAGUUAACUUUGAAUUAUGAAUAUAUCUUUCUUUAAGAGUUAUGUUAUGGUGUAUACAUAACUUGCAAUUUCCGACUCACAUGUGAUAAUAUAACUGUUGGAAUCAGUCUCUUCAUCAGCAAAUGUGUUGAUUCCCAGCUGAUCGAAUAGCCUGUUUAAAACAAACAAGAACACACGCAUGUUAAGAACCACAUCCUGACAAUAUAGGAUUGGUUGUUAUUACUACCUCCCUUUGAUGAUAAAAGGGAAUUCCCUUGUUCAGCCUGUGGUUUUGAAUCCACCAUAUUUUUGUCAACUUUACCAAAUAAUGAUGCAUGGAUUUCCCUGCAAACAAUUUCUCUCUUCUCCUUGUUUUUUGAUACUAGUGAGGGAAGGGUUGUGUCCUUUGGGAUAUUGGAAAACUAUAUUUUACAGCAUUUUUGAACUUUCUGUGAAAUCUCAUCUAUCUGUUGUCAUCAUGUACCAUCAAUGCUCAAAGUGCAGUAAGUUCCUCUCUUCUCCUGCCCUGGAAUGUUGGUCAAGUAAGACUGCCCAGGCAGUCAUCCAGGUCCCUUCUAUAUUGCCAUAUAAUCUAGAUUAUCAAAGCAGAUAAUCCACAUUAUCUGCUUUGAACUGAAUUAUAUGAGUCUUACAUUGCCAUAUAAUCCAGUUCAAAGAAGAUAAUCUGGAUUUUAUAUGGCAGUGCAGAAGGGGCCCCUGAGAAUAGUAAGGCCACUACAGACUUAAGACAGUUAAAUAUUAACUGGGCAGAGAGAAAGUUGAAUUUUUAAAUACCUAGUUCACCCCAGUUUCAGCUAUAUGUCAUUACUAUACUGCUGACAGUUCAUCCUGAAAUUUCAGGUGGAACCACUGCAAUGUUUUUUUAAAAAACCAGCUCACUCUCUCCAAAGGAUUCCAUGGUAAAUGGUUUGAGAAACCACCAAGAAAUCAAGAAAAACCAACGUUUUGAAUGGUAAAAAUUACUGGUAUUCAGCAAAUUAAUAAUUUGUGAUGUGGUAAAGAGAAUUCUAAUGUCCAUUUGCUUCUCUAGGUUUCUGAGCCGAUAUAGAUGUAUGGUAAAUUUCUCCACAAGUUUUGGCAAGGCAUUUAUGUUGAACCUGAUAUACAGAUGAUAUAUGGACUUCAUAAAUUACAUUUGGUUGUAUAGUCAUAAGGUUCCUCCCCCCAUUCUAGCCCAACCCUCUCGCAGUUCUGGAAAUGAUGUAUUAUACCUGAAAAAUGGUCAACCAGCCUCUGCUUAAAAAUCUCUUAACAAACAAAGCCCAUCAUUUUCCAAGACAGUUAUCUCCACUAUGGAAUAGCUUACAUAUAUCAAGAAGUUUAUAAUGUCCAGUCAAAAUCUUUUUUCUUGAAAUAUGCAUUCAAUAAUUCUUGUCUAACCCUUCAACCGAAGAUGACAAAUGUGCUCCAAUAUCUAUAUGAUAGUCUUUAUAUAUAUGGAGACAGUUACUUUAUCACCUCUUAAUCGCCUCUUCUUUCAGUUAUUCAAGCCUCUCCUCACAGGAUGUCUUGUUCUGGCCCUUCAUUAUCUUCUGUCAUCUUCCUGUGGACACUUGAUAUUUGAUCGCCUGGGUCUCUGCAACACCAUAAAGAGAACAUGUGACUCAAGUACAGAUAACAGUGUUAUUAAAACGGUUUCAGAUGAGCUCCUAUUCAGUAUUUGAACUAGAAAUUCAGCAAUGUCUUUGAGUGAAAAAAACGCAGCUAUUUUUCUGUACAUUUUUUGAAAACUGGUUCCCAUUUGUGUGUGUAUCCAUUUCAUUUUAUCUGUUUCCAUAUUGUUUUUUCAGUCUUUUUUGUGGAGAUAAAAAGUGGAGUAUAAAUCAUCACCAUCAUCAAACAACUUUCUUACAAGGUUGAAAAUCCCUUAUUCAGAAUUUCAACAUUUGAAACACUCCAAAAUCACACAGGUGACCAAGAUAGUGACACCUUUGCUUUUUGAUAGUUAAGAUACAUAAAUGUCUUCAUGCAUAAAAUUAUUAAAAAUAUUGUACAAAAUUACCUGCAGGCUAUGUGUAUCUGUCCGAACAUGUCUCCCGCUACGACCCACCUCGAAGCUUAAGAUCAUCAGAUGAGGCCCUGCUCACGGUCCCGUCAGCCUCACAGGUGCAGCUGGCGGGGACGAGUGACAGGGCCUUUUCAGUAGUGGCUCCCCGCCUAUGGAACGCCCUCCCCAGUGAAGUCAGACAGGCUCCUUCCCUCCUAUCCUUCCGUAGGAAGGUUAAAACUUGGUUGUGGGGCCAGGCUUUCGAAUAACAAUUAGCAGCACUAAUUGGAACUCAAUCGACAGACCCAGUCCUUUGAAUUUGAACACGCCCAUUUUAGAAUGUAUUUUAGAAUGUAUUUUAGAAUGUUUUUAUGAAUGUUGAUGUAAGUUAUAAUUUUUAUAUUGAUUUAUAGUGUGUUGUAUAAUUUUUAUAUGUGUGCUUGUUGUAAGCCGCCCUGAGUCCCCUCUCAGGUGAGAAGGGCGGGAUAUAAAUGUUGUAAUAAAUAAAUAAAUAAAUAAAUAUAAAAUAAAUCUAAAAUCCGAAACACUUCUGGUCGCAAACAUUAAUAAUCAAGAAUACACAACAUGUGCAGAGGUUUUCUUGUAGAAGUCCUAGAGAUCUGUACUUCUCCGAUUGCUGGGCAUGAAAAUCUUCUCUAGCUUGCCUCGUCUGCCAGGUCUGCUCUCUUAAAACAGUAUUUAUUUUGAUUCCAUGAUGAAAUAUAAACAACAAGUAGAAUUCCUUCUCCCUUUCUACCAUUUUCUGCUCCUACUAAGCAUAUUUCAAAGGCCCUCCUCCCUACUGUAAAUUCAAGCUCUGUUUAAUUUCAUAAACAUCAGAACAAAGGAAUGGUUGCAGACAGUUCUCAUUGCUUUCCAUUUGUGCUUCCAUUUAACUACCUGUGUGUCUGUGGCUCCAUUUGUUUACAGCCCUCAUCAGUUGUUUUGAGAUUUUAAAAUGAGGACAUGCACUGGAGCAAUCCACACCAGUGUAUAGGAACGGAGUCAUGUGUUUUCCUUGACUGCAGGGAUAUACAGUUAUGCAAAUAUGCAUAUUUUUUGGCCCAAACUGGGUUUUAAAUGCACCUUUUUAAUAUGUGUUUUUCUGCUAAUCAGCGUGCAUUUUCCCUAAAUGUCAUCUAGCCCCCCUCGCCUUUAUUCCAUUUUCUUCCAUGUUUUAGGGCUUGUGUAGAAGGGCCUGACUCUCAGGAUCACCUUUUGUGAUCCUGAGGGUCAAUCUCCACACCAUUCUGGUUUUUCAGGCUCCAGGAGCUCAAAGAACCGGGAUGGCACUGCCAUCCUCCCCUCCCAGCCCCCCAUCCCCUCCAAAACCUAUUGACGAGGUCUGCCUCCUGAGAGGGCAUAUAUUCACCUUCUGCAUCAAAAAUUGUGGGUUUUGUGCCCGUUGUGUGGCCUAAAUCCCAAGAGGAAUGUGCACUUAAAAUACCGAUUUCUCUCAGAAUUUAAGCCUGUUUCAAAGGGCCCCAAAUUUUACCAGUAUUUGCUUUGAAACAAAACAAAUUCACCCCUAAGUGUUCCUUGCCUAGGGCUCCAUAUACAUUGACCAUUUAAUACAUUUUCAAAUGGUGUUGAAGAAAGUGGUUUCACUGUGCAGACGAUUACACAGGAAACCCUGGAACUAGUUUGAGUUUACAAACUAGAGGGCAUUGAUGCACAUCAACUGCCUUCUUUUGUGGGAGUUUGUUGUCUGGCCACCACAGUUUGAAGCUAGCAUCGAACUGCAUUAAAUGGUGAGUGUAGAUGGGACCAAAGAAAACUCUGUGAAAUUAAUGCAGCCACCAUAAGUCAAUGGGCAUCUUAAAGGCACAUGCACUAUAAAUGUAUAUCUGUGGGUAUAUCUAUGUAAAGCAGUAGUUCUCAACUUGGGGUCCCCAAAUGUUUUGGGCCUAAAACUCCCAGAAAUCCCAGCCAGUUUAUCAGCUGUUAGGAUUUCUGGGAGUUGAAGGCCACAACCAUCUGGGGACCCCAGGUUAAGAGACACUGAUGUAAAGCAUAGUUUGCAAAAGUUCUUGUUGUUCUUUCAAGUUGUUUUUGAGUUCUCACUGGGUUUUUCAGGCAAGAGUUGUUUAGAGAGGGGUUGUCUUUGCCAUUCUCUGAGGCUGAGGAAAGUGUGACUUGUUAGGCUACUCAAUGGGUUUCCAUGGCUGAAUGAGGAUUUGAACCCUAGACCAUUAGCCUAGGACAGUGGUUCUCAAUCAGCGGGUCCCCAGGUGUUUUGGCCUACAACUCUCAGAAAUCCCAGCCAGUUUAUCAGCUGUUAGGAUUACUGGGAGUUGAAGGCCAAAACAUCUGGGGGUGAGAACCACUGUCCUAGGACCUAGACUAACACUCAACUAUUAUACCACACUGGCUCUCUUGAAAAAUGUAUGCUGUCACAAUUUCCCCAAGCUUUACAAAGCCUUUGCCCUAUUAAAAAUAAUGUUUUGUGCUUUUUUGCACAAAAAAUAUGCAGUUUUACAAGAAAUACAUCUUUGUGCAAAAAACAUUUUGUUGCUGCUGAAAAAAAGCAAGCUCGGGUAUGCAGGAGAAAAAUCUUCACGCAGUUAACAGAACUUUCUUUAUUUAAAGUUGCCUUGUGUUGAAACAAUGUUUCUUGAUGAGUAUAAGAAAACGUUUUGAAUAUCCUUUACAUCACUAAUUAGGAGCAAUACAUAAAUACAGUUUCACUUAGUACCAAGUGUAUGAUCCAAACACACAAUACACAGCUCCUUUUGUCUUACAUCUCUAGAGUGUGAUAGUCAAGUCAGAAUCCUAAUUAAUUUUUUAGCCCAAAACCCUCCAGCUAGUAGCUCUUUAUUAACACAGUGCAUCGAAAAUACCAAAAGAUUAUCUUGAGGAUUAAUAGAAAUCACUGUUGUUCUUUUAAGCUUUCUGCAUACGUAAUUUUAUAGGCUGAUGAUAUGAGCAACCAGAUUAUUUUUUUAAAACCCUCUUCAUAAUUACAUGACACAAUUCUGUAGACUCUUCCCUUUUCCUGCUGUGAGUAGCUUAUGGAUUUUCUUUUUGUCCAUUUGUUUGUUCUAAGCCUAAAAUGAUAUUUGAGAAUGAAUGUGUUUGGUACUAUAGUGUUUCAAAUGAAUAUUUAAUUGCUUAGUACACCAGAUUACUCUAACAACUAUAUUGUCAUUCCAGGUGUAUAAAAAUACCACCCUGUCUAUUUUAAAAGGCUAACUACCCAUGUAGAGAUAAUGCAUGAUCCAAAGGAUUUUUCCCUAGAAUUUUCACUGAAAUGUUCCAUGAAAAAAAAUCAGGGUGCAUUUUUGGGUGCUAUAUACAUCCAAUGAAUUCUGAGGGAAGUCAAGAGCAUAGAUAACACUACCAAAAGAUUUCAGAUAGUUGCAUAUCAUUCAUAUUAGAGAAAUUCAAAAUUAACAUUGUAAGCUCAUCUUCCAGUGAUAAAACAAAUUUCAGUGGAGCCAAAAUUAGGAAGGCUAGCUGAAUAUUUCUGUAAAUUACCAAUUUUAUAAAAUAGAAUCACAGAGUUAGAAGAGAUCACAUGGGCCAUUCAGUCCAACCCCCUGCCAUGCAGGUAAAACUCAAUCAAAGCACCACCAACAGAUGGCCAUCCAACCUUAGUUUAAAAACCUCAGAAGAAGGAGCUUCCACCACACUCUGAGGCAGAGAGUUCUAUUUUUGAACAACUUUCAUGAUCAGGAUGGGCAACUUUGAAGUCCCUGAACAGACUCAGAAGUGGAAUGGCAAAAUGGCACUACCUAAAAAAAUCCUCCACCUUGUGUGAUUGUGGAGCAGAGCAGACAACUCUGCAUUUGUAUGCUUGUCCGCAGUGUCCAACCUCAUGUACAGAGGAAGAAUUGUUUGAGGCUACAAACAAUGUGAUCGCUGUUGCCCGUUUUUGGUCAAAAGAUAUUUAGCCACUUGUGCUCCUAUUUUUUAUCAGUUUUAUAUUAAUUUAUGCAAUGCUUUUGAUAAGAAAUAAAGACAGAACUGCCAUCUUGCAAAAAAUCCCAUCUAUCUCUAAGUUGUUUCAAUAGGUUCUUGGGAAUGUGUUAGGACAUCCUUGCUCAGUAGGUGAUAAAAUUAUACGUAGAUGAAUGCAUGUCAUUCUCUAAAGCAGGGGUCUUUAAACUUUUUAAGUGGAGGGCUGGUUCAUGGUCCCUCAGACUGUUGGGGGGGGGCGGCGGUUUGGUUUAGCACUGUGGAAAGUAAAAUUGUGCAGGAACUGCUGAAAUAGCAUGAAGUAUUAAAAUAAUUGUUUCAAUUGUAACAAACAAACCUAAAUUAAUGAUUGGGGCAGGGGUCCACCAGUACACAAAGCCAGGCUUUGGAUUUAUCCAAUGGACAUUACCAUGAGCAACUGAAGUGAUGACAAGUCUGACUACAGACCAACUAUUUUCUCUUUCUAUUUUUAUGACAGCUAAUAGAUAUUAUUUUCAGAUCUGAAUAAUUCCAGCGCUCUUCCUGGAAUAGAUAAACAAAUAGACAUGGGAGUGGGUGAAAAUUUAAUGUGCUGUUACAAGGGCAUUGUGGUACACUUUAAUUUAAAAUUUGAAAAAAAGAUUUGCUGAAAUAAUAAUUCAACAAUUGAAAUAAACAAAGCCAAAUUUAGAAAUAUUAAGGAAGGGCUGAAAUAAAGUUUGAAAAUGUAACCUUUCCCCAUAUAGAGUACUCAGGCACAAUCAGCCUGUGGUCCAAGUUAAGAGUGCUGCCAUACCUUGCAAUGCCUCAUCCCUCACCUCACCCCUAAGUUGGACCAUGCGCCUUUUGGGUACUAGGGCCAAAGAAAAAGAGAGAGAGCUAUUGUCUUCACGCAAUUCUCCUAAUGCCUCUUUUACAAUAAUUCAGUAUUAAAUCUUAGAUGUCAUUAGUUCAUGGCAAUCUUCUCUCAAACAUGCUAAGUAAUUUUAAAUGGCCCAAUGUCAUCAUGACUUUUGUCUUCACUAUGCUGCGUUUCCAGUAUUUUAAAAUUUAAUAUAGUUCUAGAUCACUUCCCUCCCCCUCCCCCACCCACCGAAUGGAGUGAUUCAGUAACCUCCCUGGGUUUGGGGCUGACAUGGGGGAAUAAGCACUUGGCAGGUGCAAACAUAUAAGCUUCUUGAGACAUCUGACAUGAUGGAUCCUGUUGUGACAGACUGUUUUGGCAAGGGGAGAACGAUGGUGGUAGUGAAAGUACAUCUGUUGAACCACAGCCUGUUUCUGUAACCAUGUACAAUUAGUACUGUAUGAAACAGAGAUUAAUUUUUUCUUAAGAGUCAUACAUUUUACCACUGGGUAACCCACAUUAGUCAAAGCCACAAGAUAAUUGCCUAAGGAAGAGCAACGUCUGACAAGUGUUUAAAACAGUAAAAAGAAUGAGAACUGAUUGCAAGUUGGAAAAAGAUAAUAUUUCUGUGUAAGUUAUUCUAUUAGCAGUUUGGGCCUUUAAAUCUGCUACACAUCAGAUUCUGUCAAGGCGAUUUCCCACAUGGCCACCUGAUAAAGGGGCUGGCUUCCAAGAGAAAUACACUCUUAAUAAGGUUGUAUGUUUAUGUGGUCUCUCUUCUGCAUUACAAAGUCUGGAUUAGUCAAUGAAGCUUUCAAACUGGCUGACAUAGAAAUUACUGCUUGGCAAGAUCUGUGGACAUCUGUUUGCCGCAACUUUAUUUAGCUCUUGGACAUUCCCCAGAGGUAUGGCAUAUGGGUGGGUCAGCCAUACCACACCAGACCAACUGUAGACGGAAGGGAAUGUAGACAGACAUGCAAAGUGUUUAAAAUAGGAAAUGCGCCUUUGUGCUGGGGAAGGGGGUUGGUGGUAUAACAGGUGUGUGUGUGUGUAUAUAUAUAUGUGUGUGUGUGUGUGUAUGUGUGUGGAUAUAUAUAUAUAUAUAUAUAUAUAUAUAUAUAUAUAUAUAUAUAACUUAGUUUAACAAGGCUUCUGUUACACAUGAAUACAACUGCUAGCAUUUUCCCCCUACCCUCACCCCAAGUUGGAAGGGUAUUUUUUGUGUGAAAGUCAGACAGAAUAACCUCACAAUGACCUCCAAACUGGCACAAGGCCAUGAGGGAGGACUCUGAAGGACUGUCCUUCAGCACUGCAUUGAUUAGAUUUCUUUCCAUAAUACCUCCUCUGUCUUUGCUCAGUAAACCUUACUGAGGACAGAGCUGAGAAGAAAGGCAGAUAAGUGAAAUAAAAGCUGAUCUCCAUGUGAAAAUACACCAUAAAAUUAACAAGAUUCUUAACAUCAAGGUAGCUCCUAUUCACUCCCUAGACCAGAAAGUUAAAGCAUGCAACAGAAAUCAGUUGGCCAAGGCUAAGCACAACGGAGGAGGCAGUGUACAAUCACAUUAUGACCCAAUUCAGGUUCUCUUGUAUGAAUCACAGGGUUGUGGGAGAAAUCAGUUUUGGGAAGGAUGUGCAUAAUUAGUGACAGAUGUAGUAGGAGGAAGUGAUUUAUGCUUUUUUCCAGUGACUUCCCCAAAAAAACCUGUUGUUCUAUACAUGGUCUCAUUAAGCCCUAGACCAAGGAAGGUAUGUAUCCAGUGGGCCUCGGUAUCAGCUGGGAUUUGGUUCCAACACGUGGACACUAAAACCAUUGAUGUGCAAGUCCUAUUAUAAACUAUAGCCUUAUAGAAAUGACAAACAACACAAAUGAAUGCUGAAGUUCCCCUUCCCUAACACUUUUUUGAGCUGUGGCUGGUUGAAUCAGUGAAUGCAGAACCCAUGGAUACAGAUGACCAACUGAAUCCAAAAUGUGCCACACUAGGAACUGAAGCAUUCCUUCUCUUGAGGUUCUAUUCUGUUUACAUUACAGCAACAGAACAAUAGAGUUGGAAGAGGCCUCAUGGGCCAUUGAGUCCAUCGAACUAAAGCACCCCCCAGCAUGUAGUUGUCCAAUCUCUUUCUGAAGAUGUCCAAAGAAGGAGACUCCAUCAGCUCUCCAGGCCAGGGGUUCCCAAACCUUUUCAGCCACAGAGCCCUUUUCAAAGCAACUUCCCUGUAGAGCCCCAAGAAAUGAUUAGCAUUUAGUUUGGUCUAUGUUCUAUGAGGCAUAAUACACAUAAUAUGUAUACAGAAGUAUGAAUACUUUUUUGUGUGUGUCAGGAGCAACUUGAGUCACUUCUGGAGUGAGAGAAUUGGCCAUCUGCAAGGACGUUGCCCAGGGGACGCCCAGAUGUUUUGAUGUUUUUACCAUCCUUGUGGGAGGUUUCACUCAUGUCCCCGCAUGGAGCUGGAGCUGAUAGAGGGAACUCAUCUGCGCUCUCCCCGGGUGGGAUUCGAACCUGGCAGCUUUCAGCUCAGCAACCCAACCUUCAAGUCACUUAGUCCACUACGCCAUCUGGGGGCUCCAGUAUGAAUAAUAAGGCAUAUAUAUAUAAAAGGAAAAAUAAUAAAAAAAGAACUGGAGAUAGUAUUAUUCAUUAUUUAAAUCUACAAAACGAUAUAACUAGUUAAGAUAUUUGAAAAAUGUUACAAUGUUACAUGUACACCCAAAGUUAAUGUGAACAAUGGGCCUGCUUCUUGCAGCAGAAUUUGUCAGAAUUUAGAAGAGACUCCCUAUAAUCUCCCUCCUUGCCAUGUCUCAUGCAGAGCCCUUUACAAUGACUCGCAGAGCCCCAAAGGCUCCAUGGGGCACACACCUUGGGAACCCCUGUUCUGGGCAAUUAAUUGGCUUCUCUGCUGAAACAUUUUUACUUCCAAGAAGUUACUUCUAAUGUACAAUUACAUUUUAUUCUCCUGUAAUUCAAACAGUUAGACAAGGUCCCACCGACCCUCUGGGGCAGCAGAGAACAGAUCUUCCUCCUCUCUGUGACAGUCCUCGAGGUAUUUAAAAUUUGCGAUCAUGUCACCCACCCCCAGUCUUCUCUUCACAAAACUAAGCAGGCCCAGCUCAUCCAACGUUUCCUUAAGAACGAACAAUGGCUAGACAAACUUGACAAAAUCCAUGAUAUGGACAGAUUAACUUUCCUUUUGAAGGAAAGUAAUGGUAAACCACUAAGGAGAACAGAUUGGAAGACAAACGAAGAAUAUAGAAAGAAGGCAAAGGACUUAACAUAGUAAAAAGGAGUCCCCGAGAACAGAAAAUAAGGAGAGACCAGAAAUGUAAGAAAAGAUGAUACGUACUUGAAGGGAAAACGCAAUGAGCAAAGAAUGGAAGACCAAAAACUACCCUUUAUUCCUCCCCCCCUUUCCCCCGCCUUUUCUUCUUCCUGUUUAUUCCUUUAGACUGGGCUUUGUAUUUUUACCCUAAUGUCUUAUUUCGUGUUUUCCUUUGCAAUUCGGAGGGUUUUUUCUUUUUUCUUUUAUUUGUAAAAAUUCUGAAUAAAAUUAUCACAUUUCAACCUUUCAUUAUGUUUUGUUCUCUAUACCAUACCUCUUUUGUUACCUUUCUCUGAACCUGCUCCAACAUGGCUCUUUGCUUCUUAAAACAAGGCACCUAGAACUGAACACAAUACUCCAGUGCUGACCAGUGCAAAAGAGAGGGAGCCUCAUCUGAUUGAAGGAGUCGCGUUGUUCAGCUUGGUGAAGUGAAGACUGUGGGGAUGGUAUGACUAUACCUUUAAAAUAACUCAAGGACUGUUGCAGAGAGGAAAGGGAAUGCCUAUUCUCUGCUGUCCCAGAGUGUAGGACCAGCACUUUGGACAUCUAUCACUCCCAUAAUAACUUGACAGAGCUCAGAAGUUGAAAUCAAUCCUCUUCUCUCUGUUUCUCAGACUCAGUUCUAUGUGUAUUGUUAAUCCUUUCUUGGGUCCUAUACCCACCAAUUACUCUGUUUAACUUUUUAAUCAGCAUAACAUAGUGGGCAAAAAAAAAAAAGAAUUUUGAUUUGGUAAGUCACUAAUUUAACUCUUACCCAGUCUUGAACUCCAAAGGGGCUUGCUAUGAGGCCAGAGCUAUGCCUCAGUCCUUUGGGUCAAUAGCAUCAAGGUAUUAGUAAUGACUGUUAAUAGUUGCUUUCAGAAUAAAAAAUGAAUGUACUUUAAAAAGCAUCAGUGAAGCAUUAAGCCUACAUGUUUUAAUCAACAGAUCAAAUGAGAGAAAUAUGUGACUUGCACCCAACCUCUGGAGUAUUUUAUGCUCCUACUCCUCUCCUUCCCAGCAAUUGUAUUUAUUGUGCCUGAUUUAACAGUGUUAAAUCAACACUGUUUAACACUAAAGUUGCUUCCAAUUAUGGCUUUUGUUUUUCAACUUCCUUGUUUUAAGUACUUUAUUUUACUGGGAAAGUGGUUUUUCUAUUGUUGCUAAUCUUAGUUUUGAAACCUCCUGUGUUUCCCUAAUGCUUCUGUCUUUCCCAACGCUGUUUCUCCCUGAAAAAUUGUAUCGGGGAUUGGCUAUUCCAGCUUGUGAGAACUCGACUGGCAACUGUCACCCAGAGGACCUUUUCAUCGGCCGCCCCAAUAUUGUGGAACAAAUUUUAAAACCAUCUAAAGACCCAUCUCUUCCGGCAGGCCUACCCAGCCAGUUUUAAUCACAAAUUUUAAACUUGCGUCCUGUGUUUAAUAUUUGUUCUGUGUAUUUUAAUAUAUAUUUUGUAGAAAUAUGUUUUAAUAUGUGUAUUUUGUAGAAUAUCUUUAGAUGACUGUGUGUUUUUAGUGAUAUUGUAACUCGCCACGAGGAGAGGCAGGUAAGAAAUAAAAUUAUUAUUAUUAUUUGAUACACAACAAGAUUAGUAGACAGAAAAUAAUAUCACCAUGCUGGCUGUUGUUAUUGUUGUUGUUGUUGUCAUUAUUAUUGAAACUAUUUUUAUUAUUUGGGGCUAUGACAGUAUUUGGCUCAAUUACAGAUAGACUUCUACUUUUAAAAUGUUGCACAAACUUCCAGGAAGAAACAGUAGAUCACAACAGUAGUGCUAACAUUUGACAUCUCACAGGGCUGGCAAAAGUUAUUUUUUGAACUAUAGCUCCCAGAAAUCUCCACUCACCAUACUGGGUGGGGCCCAGAAGCUGUAGUAUAAAAGAAGCUUUCCAGAGCUCUAACAUUUAACUACGCAGCUGAUUAAAUAAUAGUUAAGACAUAAAAAUGCUAGUCUGCACAAAACCACAGAAAUAUAUGCUGGAGACUGCAGCAAAAAAGGCUUCAGGUGAUAUUCACUUUAUCACAGCUGAGACGCUGUACAUUCAAUAAGGCUCUGAUGGAGAAAUGAGCUAGAAGCUUCCCCACUGUGUUUACUCUCAUCAGCAACACUUUAGUGCCAAAAGAAAGGAACACUUGGUGACAUGCAUCCAGGAUUCGCUCUCCUAGUUGAUGCUACUCUUCUUCCAAACACCGUAAAGUUGCUUGUUUAAAUGCAGCCAAACGGCAACAAUAAAAAAGACUUAGCAAAACAUAGCAAUUUUGUAUUCUGAAAUGUCUUCCAUGCCAUGCUGUUGACUUUCUGUUUCUCAAAGUCAUUAUUAGUCAUCAAACAGUUACAAAAUGGUGGCAAGAAUAAAGAAAACCUGUUUGAAAAAGAUUAAUCAGUAAACUUUUUAAAGGAGUCAUCAGAAUCAGAAGAAAUUCACACCAAAAAGGAACAUGUGAUAGUUUUAAAUUAAGAAUAAUAAUCUAUUUCCUCCUCAGCAUUUUCCAUGGAUAAUUUAGGGCCCUUCCGCACAGACAUUUAAUCUGGGUCAGGAUUUGGAUUUAAGAAAUCUGUUUCGCUUUGGAGUACCUACACAGGCAUCUCUUGAACCUGUUCAAACCUGCCCCAUAAUCGAAAAAGGUGUAAUGAUUCGGAUCAAUCCAGAUUAGGAUUAUUAUUAUUUAUCUUCCCUGGCAAAAAGCGCUGGUUGAAACAAGUGAUCAGCACUUAAAGCAGAGCAAACUCAGGCACUGACAUCUAGCGUUCUCGUGGGAAUGUUGUCCUUUGCUUGCAGUAGGAGAGAUAUUUGUUUACUUUCCACCUGUGAUCCCUGGAGUUUAACUCUGUCUUGAUAAGCAUGAUCCAGAAUUUCUGGUGAGUUCUUUUAACAUGCGGUUUCUGUCAGAAUUAUGGUAGGAGGUUGAAUUGGCACCCUACCCUGUUUCCCCGAAAAUAAGACAUCCCCGAAAAAUAAGACCUAGUAGAAGUUUUGCUGAAUUGCUAAAUAUAAGGCCUCCCCCGAAAGUAAGACCUAGCAAAGUUUUUGUUUGGAAGCAUGCCCAGCGCCUGCCAAACAGAACACCAGAGCAUGCAGGAUUGGUAAAUGUACAUACCAGUUGUACAUGGAAAUAAUGGUAGUAACAACAAAUGCUUGAUAGGAUUCACAGUUUGUUUAGUUAUGCUGGUUUGUGAUGACAACUACUGUACAGUAUAUAAUAAAUGUUCAUUUUUUUGUUCAACAAUAAAUGUGAAUUCUUCUUCAUGGAAAAAUAAGACAUCCCCCGAAAAUAAGACCUAGCACAUCUUUGGGAACAAAAUUUAAUAUAAGACACUGUCUUAUUUUCGGGGAAACACGGUAGCUUCUAGCUGUAUUAUAGUGCCUGUGUGGAUGGGGCCUUACUUAACAUGUCUUAUCAUGCCACUCCCAUAUGACUAGUGGUAUGUACUCUAUUCACAAUGUAAUUAAUCUGGCCCAAAUUCCAGUACGCUCAUAGAAAGCUUCAGUAGAAUUUUAGUGCAUAUCAUUUCUAUUUAGAAAACCAAUGACGGUGGAGCAAUGUUAUUAAAGUAAACUUUAUAUGGGAUUUUGGGCUGUAUCAAAAAGAGUAUAGUAUCUAGAUCAGUGGUUCUCAAUCUGUGAGUCCCCAGAUGUUUUGGCCUUCAACUCUCAGAAAUCCCAACAGCUGGUAAACUGGCUGGGAUUUCUGUGAAUUGUAGGCCAAAACACCUGGGAACCCACAGGUUGAGAACCACUGGUCUAGAUCAAGGAAAGAGAUGGGGUAACUGAGUAACUGAGUAUUAGUGCAGCCUGCCCUGUUAUAUUGCUCUUUGGAUUUUGUGUUGUACUGUAUAUGAUUCUUUAUUGUAUUGUUGUAAUUGUAUUAUGAUAUGUUGUUUUUAUAUUGUGUUAUAUUGUAUUUUCCCGGGCAUGGCCCCAUGUAAGCCGCCCCGAGUCCCCAUUGGGGAGAUGGUGGCGGGGUAUAAAUAAAGUUUUUUUAUUAUUA